AACGAACGCUGGCGGCAGGCCUAACACAUGCAAGUCGAGCGCCCCGCAAGGGGAGCGGCGGACGGGUGAGUAACGCGUGGGAACGUGCCCCUUUCUACGGAAUAGCCUCGGGAAACUGGGAGUAAUACCGUAUAAGCCCUACGGGGGAAAGAUUUAUCGGGAAGGGAUCGGCCCGCGUUGGAUUAGGUAGUUGGUGGGGUAAUGGCCUACCAAGCCGGCGAUCCAUAGCUGGUUUGAGAGGAUGAUCAGCCACACUGGGACUGAGACACGGCCCAGACUCCUACGGGAGGCAGCAGUGGGGAAUCUUAGACAAUGGGCGCAAGCCUGAUCUAGCCAUGCCGCGUGAGCGAUGAAGGCCUUAGGGUUGUAAAGCUCUUUCAGUGGGGAAGAUAAUGACUGUACCCACAGAAGAAGCCCCGGCUAACUCCGUGCCAGCCGCCGCAGUAAUAC
rnacentral:rRNA from 1 species